rnacentral:rRNA from 1 species
AUACGUAGGGGGCGAGCGUUGUCCGGAAUGAUUGGGCGUAAAGGGCGCGUAGGCGGCCCGGUAAGUCUGGAGUGAAAGUCCUGUUUUUAAGAUGGGAAUUGCUUUGGAUACUGUCGGGCUUGAGUGCCGGAGAGGGAAGUGGAAUUCCCAGUGUAGCGGUGAAAUGCGUAGAGAUUGGGAGGAACACCAGUGGCGAAGGCGACUUACUGGACUGUAACUGACGCUGAGGCGCGAAAGUGUGGGGAGCAAACAGGAUUAGAUACCCUGGUAGUCCACACUGUAAACGAUGAAUGCUAGGUGUAGGGGGUAUCGACCCCUUCUGUGCCGCAGUCAACACAAUAAGCAUUCCGCCUGGGGAGUACGGCCGCAAGGUUGAAACUCAAAUGAAUUGACGGGG